CAAAAUGCGUCGCAAAUAAAAUAAGCUAAACAAAAAUAAUAAAUUCGAAAGUGGAAUCACGAAUUAAAAGCAUGCAACUUAAUAGGAAACUGAGAUUAAGAAACAGUGUAUAUUAUCAUAUAAGUGCACUUUUCAGUUAAGAAAAAGCAAUGCACGAUUCGAACUGAGUGUAAAAAUACAAAUGCGAUUGUGAAAUUGUCGCCUUUGGCAAUGGUGUCGAUAAUUGGGGAACUGUCUCAACAAGGGAAAUGAGCGCAAUUUAAUGAGGCGGCAAAAUAAUGCACAGCAGUAGCUACUACAAAAGAUUAACACAAACAAAUCAAUGCAAGCCCCACCUCAGAGCACUUCCCAGGAACAAUUUAUAGGCGCAAUAUUUAUGCCGAGUGCAAAGACAAAGACAAUAAAACAAAACAAAAACAACUAAAAGAGAAUGU